rnacentral:rRNA from 1 species
UACGAAGGGGGCUAGCGUUGCUCGGAAUCACUGGGCGUAAAGGGUGCGUAGGCGGGUCUUUAAGUCAGGGGUGAAAUCCUGGAGCUCAACUCCAGAACUGCCUUCGAUACUGGGAGUCUCGAGUUCGGGAGAGGUGAGUGGAACUGCGAGUGUAGAGGUGAAAUUCGUAGAUAUUCGCAAGAACACCAGUGGCGAAGGCGGCUCACUGGCCCGAUACUGACGCUGAGGUGCGAAAGCCAGGGGAGCAAACGGG